AUAAAAUUUUAGGGUCUUUUUUUAUUUAUAAAGUUAAAGGGUAUUAUAAGUAAAAAGAGAUCUUAUGUCUCUUAUUGAAAACUUAAAGGUCUUUUUGAUCAUUUCCAAAACUUGGGGGAUGUUAGGUGUCCUUUUUCCUUUUUACCCGUGCAACAACCAUGCUAAUAACUAAUGUCAGCCAUCUUAAAGUAAUGUUUGAUAUCUUGCAACAAUUUUACUAAUAGUUAUUC
rnacentral:lncRNA from 1 species